AGGUGCUCAGAUACGACCAAGGUCAGGAGAAGAAAGAAGAUAUGGCGAAGAAAGAAGCCUCAUGUCGAAAUGCUACGGAUUUUACAGGGAGGACGCUUUUGCCACUAACCACUGAACCAGUAAAGGGCGUAUUGCUGCUUUCAAGCUGUCUGAACUCGCUUUGUCUUCAACGAUGUAAUAUGGCUAGACAGUGACUUUAACCACCCCUGGAAAGGACAUUGGUAGCAUCCUCCACCAAAGACCUCAGAUUCGUGUUCGCCUGUACCCGAUCGCGAGCCACGAUUGCCUCGCUUGCCGACGUUUGUCAUCUAGACUUUUUGCAGGGUUGACACUUAAUAUGAAAUGCACAGCUUGCUUUGGGUGGUAAUAAUUUUCGCCAAAAUACACGUGUAUCAGAUGAAGCAUCGCACGUAACGUG